rnacentral:lncRNA from 1 species
AGGAGGUGCAGGUGGUGUCCGUGGGCCUGCUGGUGAUCGGUGGUGUUGGCGGUCAGCGUGGCAGCGACCUGUGAGAUCAGGUUCCUACUGCUGACGGUGAGUCAGCGUAACGUCUGAUGCUGCAUUCAGGUCACGUGGGAAAAUGCUGCGACCACAUCCAGGGCUCAGUCAGGUGUUUUUUACCUGUGUCCCUCGGCUGAUGUGUGGUGGGUUUCUUGAAAGAACACUGUGAGAAAUAAAAUCCAGUUUUGUUUCUUAGUGCUGCCCCCUGCUGGUACCCUGUGCUAUUAUUACACAGACACUGGCACACACUGACACACAGACACACACACUGACACACAUAUACACACACACUGACACAGACACACGCACACACACACAGACACACACACACACACACACAGACACACACACACACUGACACAAACUAAAACACACACCGACACUGUGACUGACUCACAGGGCGGCUGCUGUGGCAGAACCGGUGCUGCUGAUUGGCUGAGCAACACCUACAUCCAGAGCCUGAACCUGACGAGUCCAGACGUGCUUCCGUGUUCCUGCUUUCACUCGUUUCAGCGCAGCGUCAACUCUUCCUGGUGCUCCGAGCUGCUGAACCUCACUCUGAUUGGCCAAGGGAGCGGCACGAGCUCGCUCCUGAGGGGGCGCCGGCGGCUCUAAACCUGCUGUGUUUCAUAUCGCUGGUGUGAUGUGAUGUUUUACCCAUGAUGCUGCUGGGUUUGUGGUUUUCAGGGCUGCAGUCAGACGUUCAGUGAUUGGCUGCAGGAGAACUCCCUGACCAUCAUCGCCAUGGACGUCGCCCUGCAGUUACUGCAGGUGGUGCUGUUCGUCAUGGUGGUGUAUCUGUACCGUGCAUUUGGAGAAGGCCGCGCCCUGAAACGGACCGAUCUGCUGGCUGGCAGAGACCACGCCCCCACCGAUGACCUGGGGGAGCUGAACUACGCCUACAAUGACCAGGGUGUGUCGUGUCCUCACAGGGUAUACCCCGCCUCUCACCCAAAGCUAGCUAGGCUAGGCUCCAGCCCCCCGUGACCCUCCACUGCAG